CCCUCUCUUCGGGCUGCUCAAGCCCAACGGCAAGAUGGUCAUGGUCGGCCUCCCAGAGAAGCCUGUCGAGGUCCCUCCCUUUGCUCUGGUUGCCAGUAAGUCCUCCCAUCUCACAAGCCACCUAGAUAUCCUCUCCGAUCUCGCAAUUGAAGAAAUCAUGCGACCACAGGCAUUUUGUGCGUAACUGAUACACAUUGUGCGUGUGGCUGAAUGUACAGAGAACAAGACCCUGGCCGGGAGCUUCAUCGGCGGCAUGAGGGACACCCAGGAGAUGCUGGACCUCGCGGCGAAGCAUAGUGUGACGGCAGACAUCGAGGUGAUCAGCGCCGAGUACGUGAACACGGCCAUGGAGCGCCUUGCCAAGGCCGACGUCAGGUAUCGGUUCGUCAUCGACAUCGGCAACACCCUCGACAAGGCCGCCGCCGCCGCCGCCGCCAAGUGAUCGACUGACUGCCAGACAUAACUCAUCAAUGCUCACGGUCUACUUUGGCCUCUGCUAUUGUCCUAUUAACAAUGAAGAAUGUAAAAUUCUUGUCAGUGAUGUAUUGUGUACUGUUGUUCAUGAGAAAACUGCGUUGGCGGAUGGAUGGAAAGUUUGCUUCUUGACGGGAUAAUGGAGCUUCUUCCUGCUGUUUCCUAUUGUCUAAGGGCCACUUUGAUUUCCUACUGUUUCCCCUG
rnacentral:lncRNA from 1 species